UUAUCUCUGUAGAGUCUGCAUAUCAAUAAGCGGAGGAAAAGAAACUAACUAGGAUUCCCUUAGUAACGGCGAGUGAAGCGGGAAGAGCUCAAAUUUGAAAUCUUCAAGGUUCUACCUUGACGAAUUGUAGUUUAAAGAAGUGUUUUCUGUUAGAUGAGUAGCAAAAGUUCCUUGGAAUGGGACAUCAUAGAGGGUGAGAAUCCCGUAUUUGACCGUUAUUAUUCUAGCUGUGUGAUACACUUUCAAAGAGUCGGAUUGUUUGGGAAUGCAGUCCAAAAUGGGUGGUAAAUUUCAUCUAAAGCUAAAUAUUGGCGAGAGACCGAUAGCGAACAAGUACCGUGAGGGAAAGAUGAAAAGAACUUUGAAAAGAGAGUUAAACAGUACGUGAAAUUGUCAAAAGGGAAGCGUUUGACACCAGUGUUGUUUAGUUGAAAAUCAAUUCAAUAGUUUUUGAUUCUAAGUAGUAUUGACUUCAUCAGCUUGCUGCUUUCUUCUCAGAAAUUAUUGAAUGCACUUUUCAGUUAACAAGUCAACAUCAAUUUCUUUUGUUGUAAAAGGGUAAGAGGAAGGUGGCUUGCGCUUCGGCUCAAGUGUUUAUAGCCUUUUAUCUCUGCAAUCGGAGAGAUUGAGGUCUGCAGCGUAGAUCCUUCGGGGUUAGAUACAUUGGUGCUAAGCUAUAGCCUUGUAUAGACAACUUGUUGACUAUGCUCAGUCAUGUAGCUUACUCGCUGAUGCUAUUUUACCUACGCUUAGGAUGUUGACUGAUAUGUAGUCGUA
rnacentral:rRNA from 1 species